CACGCCCUAAACUAUGUCAACUGGUUGUUGGGGGUUUGACACUCUCAGUAACGAAGCUAACGCGUGAAGUUGACCGCCUGGGGAGUACGGCCGCAAGGUUAAAACUCAAAGGAAUUGACGGGGACCCGCACAAGCGGUGGAUUAUGUGGAUUAAUUCGAUGCAACGCGAAAAACCUUACCUACCCUUGACAUGUCCUGAAGCCUGGAGAGAUCCGGGUGUGCCCGAAAGGGAACGGGAACACAGGUGC
rnacentral:rRNA from 1 species